rnacentral:lncRNA from 11 species
CUGUAGCUCAUUACUGGAAAACAGGAUUGCCAUGCUGUUCAAACCAGAGUGAUCCAUGAUUGGGAGGCUUGGCAGUGAUCAUGACCCCAAUAAUCCCAGUUGACCCAGCUGUGAGAGAAUACUUUCCUCACCAUCCACUCAUGGUUUAUUAACUGUCUCAUC